rnacentral:lncRNA from 1 species
GUUAGAGCUAAUCUUGAUAUUUGUAUUAGCAUGUUUGAGUUUUGCAUGUAGUCUAGUCUAGUGUGGUGUUCGUCCGACGAAGGCUUCAGGUGAGCGCGCCAAGGAGGUGAGAUGCCAGGAUGCCGUGUGAGGCGGUGAGCACGCUGAGAUGCCGAUGGUGCUGCAUGAGAAGCGGCAAGACGUAUCAGAGGCUGGAGCCGUGAUGGACUGCAUCAAAUUGGGUCGGGUGAACCGGCCGGUCGUUCUGUUUGUUGGACUAGCUGUUCAUGCGUGAGUUCGUUUAGUCCUAGCCGAGAGUAUCGUUGCUAGUAGUUGAUGCAUGCAUGUAGUUGGCCUGGUCACAAGUGGUUACCGAGGUCGUGUGCAACGCUGGAGUGAUUCGAGGAGUGGAGUACGUGGGAGUUAGUGGCCCGUAUGGUGCUCAAGUUGUUAUCCUGUACUGGCUAUUUAAGCACAACAAAUGAAUGAGAAAGAUGAGGCCGUGAGGGCUAGAGCAGAAACAUGUAGCCACUGUAUUCACCAAGGACGGAGCCUCUCGGCAAAGCUAGCGGAUGGUCUGUUCCUUGGUGCAUGUGUGUGUGUGUAAUGUGCGUUCAGGUGUUCUUGAGAGAAACCAUAGAAGAGAGAAGAGAGAGUUGUGCGAGGCAGCUCGAGGUAGAAGAAGAAGAGCGGCGCUGCGAGGAGGCGGCGCCAACGAUUGGCAUUAGAGCCUUGUCGAUCCGCGGAAGCGAUGGCGGCGACGACGACGCGGCGGACUCCAUGUGAGGUGGAGGACGUCGGCACGAGGUGGGUGGCCGUCGGCGGCGCGAUGCUGCCGGUGGCCGGUUGCGGUGUGAUGCCGCUAGAUGAUGGCGGUGCGAAGCUGCCACAAGACGACGGUGUGACGCCGAUGGGAGGUACGACGGCACGAGGCCGUUAUGAGGAGAAGACGGCGUGGCGAUCGGCGCCGCGAAGGCGUCGUCCACGUGAAGACAUGGCCGCUGCAUGCGGCAAGAGGUCGUGGUACUCGGCGCCACGACAGCGUCGUCCACGGCAAGACGGCGCAAGGUGGGCGCUAUUGGCAGCACGAUGGCGUUGAUGGUUAGUUGCGGUGCGAUGCCGCAACAUGAUGAUUGUGUGGUGAUCGGCGUCGCGAGGACGUCAUCCAUGAUAAGAUGAUCCAUGGUGACCGGCGCUGCGACGGCGUCGGUGGCGGCCGGCUGUGGCGCUGCGACGGCGUCGACAAGUGGCUGCGGGUGAUCCGUAUGAUGAUUGUGAUAUCAAGAUUAGAAGGGUGAAUGUUAGAGCUAAUCUUGAUAUUUGUAUUAGCAUGUUUGAGUUUUGCAUGUAGUCUAGUCUAGUAUGGUGUUCGUCCGACGAAGGCUUCAGGUGAGCGCGCCAAGGAGGUGAGAGGCCAGGAUGCCGUGUGAGGCGGUGAGCACGGCGAGAUGCCGAUGGUGCUGCGUGAGAAGCGGCAAGACGUAUCAGAGGCUGGAGCCGUGAUGGACUGCAUCAAAUUGGGUCGGGUGAACCGGCCGGUCGUUCUGUUUGUUGGACUAGCUGUUCAUGCGUGAGUUCGUUUAGUCCUAGCCGAGAGUAUCGUUGCUAGUAGUUGAUGCAUGCAUGUAGUUGGCCUGGUCACAAGUGGUUACCGAGUCGUGUGCAACGCUGGAGUGAUUCCAGGAGUGGAGUACGUGGGAGUUAGUGGCCCGUAUGGUGCUCAAGUUGUUAUCCUGUACUGGCUAUUUAAGCACAACAAAUGAAUGAGAAAGAUGAGGCCGUGAGGGCU